ACGGGUGAGUAAUAUAUCGGAACGUACCGAGUAAUGGGGGAUAACUAAUCGAAAGAUUAGCUAAUACCGCAUAUUCUCUGAGGAGGAAAGCAGGGGACCUUCGGGCCUUGCGUUAUUCGAGCGGCCGAUAUCUGAUUAGCUAGUUGGUGGGGUAAAGGCCUACCAAGGCGACGAUCAGUAGCGGGUCUGAGAGGAUGAUCCGCCACACUGGGACUGAGACACGGCCCAGACUCCUACGGGAGGCAGCAGUGGGGAAUUUUGGACAAUGGGCGCAAGCCUGAUCCAGCCAUGCCGCGUGUCUGAAGAAGGCCUUCGGGUUGUAAAGGACUUUUGUCAGGGAAGAAAAGGACAGGGUUAAUACCCCUGUCUGAUGACGGUACCUGAAGAAUAAGCACCGGCUAACUACGUGCCAGCAGCCGCGGUAAUACGUAGGGUGCGAGCGUUAAUCGGAAUUACAGGGCGUAAAGCGAGCGCAGACGGUUACUUAAGCAGGAUGUGAAAUCCCCGGGCUCAACCUGGGAACUGCGUUCUGAACUGGGUGACUAGAGUGUGUCAGAGGGAGGUAGAAUUCCACGUGUAGCAGUGAAAUGCGUAGAGAUGUGGAGGAAUACCGAUGGCGAAGGCAGCCUCCUGGGAUAACACUGACGUUCAUGCUCGAAAGCGUGGGUAGCAAACAGGAUUAGAU
rnacentral:rRNA from 1 species